ACACAAAAAACCCCACGAGAGACGCCUGGGAAUGGGGGAAGGGUUGGCGGCUUGUCUUCUUCACAAAAACACACACACACACGAUAAUAUACAGAGACGCUGGAAAUUGGGGAGGGCUAUGCAACUCUUGAACACACACAAUAUAAUAGAAAACACACAAUACAUAUACCAACCUGUAAGAAGAAUUUUGCUGCUUCUGGAGGAAGUUUGAACAGAUGCACACCUAUAUACACAAUACAUAUACACACGCAGAACACACAGUACAAAGGGAAGGGACUCCUGGAGGAUGGAGGCUCCACAUAUUUACUUCUUCUAAACAACUGCACACCUAUACACACAAUACACAUUACACAACAUAGAAUACAAUGCACACAUGCUUAUACACAGGAGAGGGAGAGGCUUGAAAGCCAAUUUUCAUUCGCACACACACAUACAAAGAGUUUAAAAUAAUAUUUUCUUGUUUCAAUGUUCAUUCAUGGAUUUUGUGUAGAGCUCUGUUGGUUUAGCCCGGUUCACCUAUGUUAUCGAGGACGAGGUUCAUGGUUUCGCGUCCGAUUUGCUGUCGUCUUUGUUCAGAUUGUCGCCAUUUGAGGCGAAGCUCAUCAUUUGGUUCAAGGUUCUCUUCUUCGUCCAUUUCUUUUGUUCCUCUUAUGUGAUAAAUCGAUGCUUCAGUUGUGAUAUAAGUUUAAUGUGAAUUUGGAAUUUAUGCUUAGCUGAUUCUGUACAUCUAAUCCUCUGUAGUAUUUUUUUGAUUUUCGAGAAUUAUGAGAUGAAAUAUCGUCAUGAAUCAUUAUCCAGUUGUUCGGAUCAUAUGCAGUUAAAACAUAUCAUUGUGAGAGCUGCUAAUGUGGCCUUUGUGAAUACAUAUUGAGUGUUUGAGUUUUUUUGUUUUAAUUAGUUACCAUUUUUCAUUCGUUCCUUCUUUUCCAGUUUGGAGUUUGCGUGAGUUGAGUUCUGUCAUUUUCUGUUUGUUAGUAGUUUAGGUAAAACUCGUUCUUGGCCCGUUACUUUGUAGCUAGCUAGUGUGAUAAACUAUCAAUUUUAAUGUUAUGGAUUAAUUAACAAGGUAAAUAUUGUUUUCCCUUUUAUUGCUCCAUUACUCCAUCUCGGCCUUUCAAAAUAGUAAAUGAGAUACAGUAGGGCCAAUCCAAAUACACAGCCACAACCAUACCCAAUUAAGAUAGAUUUAUGAGUCACUUCACUAAGAAAACUCAGCUCAUCUUCUUCUUGUUCAACCGAUAAUCAUGGUACUGAUGCAGUCUUAUGAUGCCCGCGUUCAAAAUCAACAUAAAUGGUUGAGCUAUGGAAUUUAAUGGUCAGGUUUCCUUGAUCAGAUUGUCUAAACCUAAACAUGUCAUAUUGCACCUUCUAGCAGAAAUUUCUUUGUUUGAUAUCACGGUGAGUAUAAGGCUAGUCUUUCCGUAAUGGUUUGGUGAGUUGAUUGAUGCACUUGGCAACAAUUUGAAUUUGUUGUUUAUGAAUAGUCAUGAGAAUAGUUGUAUAUCACAUGGAUUGUUUUGAGUAAAAUCACAGCAUAUCUGGUGAAUUAUGCAUCUUUAGCGGAUAGAUAAGUGUUUAAAGGGUCAGUCACCUCUUUCUAGAGUGUUAGUUAAAAUGAAGUUAUGUGCUGGUUUGGAAGUAUUCAUAUUACAACAAUGGGUACGGUUCCUGUGACGUGGUUGUGAUACUUAGUUUUUUUUAGCUAAACGAAACUCUUUUCUUUAGAACUCGAGGUGCUCCACUUAGCAAACUUCCACAGCCCUCGCAAACUUGCAAGCACAUAUUCAUUUUAGGCGUGCUAGUUAAAUAAUUCACUUUCCUAAAUACGGGUGCACAUUUAUGUGAUCCAAAUCCAAAUCUCAACGAAGUUGGAAUGUGUCAAAAUCCACGGGUGCAUUUAAGUGACGUGGUUCGAGGCAUGUGUUAAUGACGUUGCAAUUCUCUUUAAAAUAAUAAUAAAAGCGGUUUAAAGUUAAAAAGCACAUAAGUUGAAACUUAGCGACGUUUCAAUUCUCUUAAAAUAAUAAUAAAAGCGGUUUAAAGUUAAAAAGCAAAUAAGAUAAAAUAUGUUAUAAAAUCAGAUAAUUUAAGCCAAAUAUGACAGUUGAGCGACAGUGCUAGAACCACGGAACCCAGGAAUGCCUAACACCUUCUCCCAGGUUAACACAAUUCCUUACAGGAAUUUUUGGUUCGCGGACUGUUAAACAGAGUCAUUUUCCUCGAUUCGGGAUUCUAAACGGUGACUUGGGACACCAUAUAUCUUCCAAGUGGAGAAUGUGAAAUUCUCUUAAAUAAUUUAAUCCCAUUUCGAUUGUCCUUAAAUUGGAAAAAACUCCCUUAUCUACGCCCUUCACCGGGUAGUAGCGAAAAAGGAGGCGUGACAGCUCUUGCGACUCUGCUGGGGAUCGAAACCACAAUCUCUGGUUCGGGGUUGAAGAAUUCGAGCUUAGAAUAAUUGUUGUGUUUGUAUUUGUUUAAUUUUUUGAUUUUACAUGUUGACUUAAUGUGCAAAAUGAUGCUUUUACCGCUUUGAUACUAUUUGUACUAUAUAUAAACUGUUACGAAACCCUUCUCUAUUUAUCUUCGGGGAUGUGCUCACUGGCCGAGACUCCUUAUUAUGUUAGUGUCAUACCUUAAAAUAAGAAAGAGGCUCAGACAAGUUACAAAGCCGGAUGAUCUUGCGGGUCCCCGGUACGUAGCCCCCUCCUCGACUCGAGUUGUCCGCUCGGCUACACAGUCUAGAACAAAUACCCAGGUGCUGAACUCAGUAUAACAAAACCUCAUGCCAGAUCCCUAGUAGGAACGCUUAUCUGCAUCAUACAUUUGACUUAGGGGACUCAACACAGGGAUUGGUUCCGUCUAGGACAGGUGUACCCAAAAUAACAGACCAUCUUGAUGCAUCCUAUGUGCUACAUGUUGAAUUCGUUCAAGGGCAGAAGGGUCAUUUGGUGGACCAAUGAUAGCCGAGGGUAAAUUAAAAAAAAAAGAGAAAAAAAGAGAAAAUCAAUGAAAAGAGAUGAGGGUGAAGGGUGAAAAUAAAGCAAGUAGGAUUUAGUUAUGUAUUUGUUAUAUUUUUUAUUAAAAAAAGAGACAAAGGAUAUGUGAAAAAUUCAAAAAAAUAUUUCGCACUUUUUAUUAUUUCCUGAAAAUCAAAAAAAAAGGAAAAAGGAAAAAAAAUCCAAAAAGAGUUUACAUGUUUAAUUUUUUUUUUCAAAAAGAGACAAAAGAAAACGUGUUCUUUAAAAAUAAGCAGUUUUUUUUUAAUUUCUUGCCCGUAUCUAAUUUGCCUGAACUACGCAAUCCUGAUUCUCGUCUUUCAGGGCCUGAUACGUAGGCAACCCACAUAGGGUCCGGUUUUCCUAGUGAAUCUUAGGUUCUUGGCUUUGCAGGGUCAUAGCUAAAAUUUUCACUUCUAGCCACUUUUGCCACAUAUGUUAGUUUUAGAAUUCAAAAGUUGUUUGUUUGGAAACUGUGUGAAUUGAGUUGUGUCAAUGGACUCUACUAUUGAAAUUCUUAUAGUUCAAGAUGGAAUUCCCUUGCCAAACUUCUUUUAUGCUGCCGAAAGUUCUAUUGAGAUCAGUCUUUGUUUGUUGGAGUAUUGUUUGGUGAUUUUAAUUCAAUCUAUGAAUUUUUUGUGGGCCAAUGUUUGAAAGAAAAUCCUGUAUUAUAUACCAAUUAUCUUUGUGCAUAACUAUGGAGUUUUGAAACUUGUCUUGUUGAAGUUUUCCACUUUUCUGAAGUUUUUGGAGUAAAUUGAUAGCUAAAAUUCUCCUAGUUUGAACUUGUUACCACUGGUUUCUAAUAGAUGUUAUUAUUGUUGAGUUUAAUAGAGGGGAUUCAGUUGGACGAGAUAUUGAGCAUCUUAAAUUGUGAUUUGGUUGAGCAUACAGUAAGCUUACUCUGCCGAAAUUUUGUGACCAUUGAGAUUUCUGCGCAAGUUUAGCAGUGGUUGUUUGAAAUCUUGUUUUUAGUUCUAAAAAGUUCUCUUUGUUGAAUUGAAUGCUCUUGUAACAUAAACUAUUUCCAACUUGGUUAGCACCUGCUGACAGAAGUUGCAUGUUUGCUGGAAAUUAAUUUACUGCUUGUUUUCUGUUGCUGUAAAGGAUUUCAUAUUUGAUGUUCACAGCCCGACAUUGUUCAUUUUUCGCUCCACAAUGAAGAUUUCCACAUUUCUUUAAUUCAUUGUUGUUACUACAGUUUUUCUUAACAGUUGAAGGAAUUUUGUAAAAGUUUUAGUUUUAGUUAACUCAAAUGUGUUGCUUCAGUUUAUAUGCCAACAAUACACUAUUGACAUUCAAGUUUUAAACUAUUUUUUUUUCUUCGAAAAGUAGAUCCUAUACUAUUCAGCUGUACUUUAUGGUUAUUCUGACUCAAUAUUGCUGUGAUUCUAAUGCUUUGUUUCUACAGUUGAGGUCGUCAUUCUGGGCUAAAAAUUUCUGUGCCUAUUGCUGCUGAAUUUAAUGCUCAAGGUGUUGCUAAAGUUUGAGUUUUGAGAAGCAAUUUAAUAGCAAACCUGCCAGCUUAUUUGAAUUCUAGAAUUUUGCAUUUAAAUGAAAGUUGUUUAUGUAAUACAAGUUUUCUAAACAUUAUUUGUAUUUUUCUACAAUAUUUUGUAAACUUGAAACUGGGUGUGGACAUUAGAACUUGUUUGAAGAAUUUUGAACUCAAAUAAGAGUGUUUUGGACUGUUAUUGAAGGUUGUUGAAACAACCUUCAAAAUUU
rnacentral:lncRNA from 1 species